rnacentral:rRNA from 1 species
CGGGGAAUAUUGCACAAUGGGGGAAACCCUGAUGCAGCGACGCCGCGUGAGUGAAGAAGUAUUUCGGUAUGUAAAGCUCUAUCAGCAGGGAAGAAAAUGACGGUACCUGACUAAGAAGCCCCGGCUAACUACGUGCCAGCAGCCGCGGUAAUACGUAGGGGGCAAGCGUUAUCCGGAUUUACUGGGUGUAAAGGGAGCGUAGACGGCUGAAUAAGUCUGAUGUGAAAGCCCGGUGCUCAACGCCGGGACUGCAUUGGAAACUGUAUAGCUAGAGUGCAGGAGUGGUAAGUGGAAUUCCUAGUGUAGCGGUGAAAUGCGUAGAUAUUAGGAGGAACACCAGUGGCGAAGGCGGCUUACUGGACUGUAACUGACGUUGAGGCUCGAAAGCGUGGGGAGCAAACAG